rnacentral:rRNA from 1 species
AUGGUGAACCUGAUCCCACCCUUCUUCACGCACGGCACCCUGCACCAUGCUGUAGGCGACGGCCACGAUGCCGGCGCGGUAGAUUCCGAUCUGGAGGUAGGCCGGCUCGGCCAUGUCGAAGUGGGCGCGCGGCGGGUUGCACCAGCCGCCGUCGUCGUUGGGCAGCGCGUAGUUGGGCGGGCACAGGUUGGUGGCGGUAAUGGUGAUGCUGCCCGGCAGGCAGGAGCUGCUCACGUCCUGGCAGCCGAGAAGAGCAGGAGCAGAGCAUUGGCGGAGGCCAUUGCAAAGAGCUCGAAGCUAGCAGCUGGUGCCUUUCUAGCUCGGUAA